UGGGCUGGAGCUCAGUGGGGAGAAUGCUUGCCUUAUAUGCUAGAAGCCCUGGGUUCGAUUCCCAGCACUGCAU
rnacentral:tRNA from 1 species